UGGCGGGGCAGAGGCCAAGAACCACGUCCCGCACCGACGGGCACUGAAGGGGCGUGGGGGAGCCAGUGGUGCGACCGGCUACCGCUA
rnacentral:ncRNA from 1 species